rnacentral:rRNA from 1 species
UACGUAGGGUGCGAGCGUUGUCCGGAAUUACUGGGCGUAAAGAGCUUGUAGGUGGUUUGUCGCGUUGUUCGUGAAAUCUCACGGCUUAACUGUGAGCGUGCGGGCGAUACGGGCAGACUAGAGUACUGCAGGGGAGACUGGAAUUCCUGGUGUAGCGGUGAAAUGCGCAGAUAUCAGGAGGAACACCGGUGGCGAAGGCGGGUCUCUGGGCCACUACUGACGCUGAGGUGCGAAAGCGUGGGAAGCAAACAGG